rnacentral:rRNA from 1 species
GACGAACGCUGGCGGCGUGCUUAACACAUGCAAGUCUACAAGAAUAAGAUAGCAAUAUCUUUAGUAAAGUGGCGCACGGGUGAGUAACACGUAAGUAACCUACCUUUAGAUUUGGAAUAACCCCGAGAAAUCGGGGCUAAUACCGAAUGAUGCAGCGGCACCACAUGGUGAUGUUGUUAAAGUCUAUAUGACGUCUAAAGAUGGGCUUGCGUCUGAUUAGCUAGUUGGUGAGGUAACGGCCCACCAAGGCUACGAUCAGUAGCUGGUCUGAGAGGAUGAUCAGCCACACUGGAACUGAGACACGGUCCAGACUCCUACGGGAGGCAGCAGUGAGGAAUAUUGGGCAAUGCCCGGAAGGGUGACCCAGCAACGCCGCGUGGAGGAUGAAUGCCGUAAGGUUGUAAACUCCUGUUAGAGGGGAAGAAUAAUUCCGAUCGACUCGGAAAUUGACUGUACCCUCAGAGAAAGCCCCGGCUAACUACGUGCCAGCCGCCGCGGUAACAC